AGAGUUUGAUCCUGGCUCAGGACGAACGCUGGCGGCGUGCCUAACACAUGCAAGUCGAACGAGAAUCUUUGAACAGAUCUUUUCGGAGUGACGUUUAAAGAGGAAAGUGGCGGACGGGCGAGUAACGCGUGAGUAACCUGCCCAUAAGAGGGGGAUAAUCCAUGGAAACGUGGACUAAUACCGCAUAUUGUAGUCAAGUCGCAUGACUAGAUUAUGAAAGAUUUAUCGCUUAUGGAUGGACUCGCGUCAGAUUAGAUAGUUGGUGAGGUAACGGCUCACCAAGUCAACGAUCUGUAGCCGAACUGAGAGGUUGAUCGGCCGCAUUGGGACUGAGACACGGCCCAGACUCCUACGGGAGGCAGCAGUGGGGAAUAUUGCGCAAUGGGGGCAACCCUGACGCAGCAACGCCGCGUGCAGGAAGAAGGUCUUCGGAUUGUAAACUGUUGUCGCAAGGGAAGAAGACAGUGACGGUACCUUGUGAGAAAGUCACGGCUAACUACGUGCCAGCAGCCGCGGUAAUACGUAGGUGACAAGCGUUGUCCGGAUUUACUGGGUGUAAAGGGCGCGUAGGCGGACUGUCAAGUCAGUCGUGAAAUACCGGGGCUUAACCCCGGGGCUGCGAUUGAAACUGACAGCCUUGAGUAUCGGAGAGGAAAGCGGAAUUCCUAGUGUAGCGGUGAAAUGCGUAGAUAUUAGGAGGAACACCAGUGGCGAAGGCGGCUUUCUGGACGACAACUGACGCUGAGGCGCGAAAGUGUGGGGAGCAAACAGGAUUAGAUACCCUGGUAGUCCACACCGUAAACGAUGGAUACUAGGUGUAGGAGGUAUCGACCCCUUCUGUGCCGCAGUUAACACAAUAAGUAUCCCACCUGGGGAGUACGACCGCAAGGUUGAAACUCAAAGGAAUUGACGGGGGCCCGCACAAGCAGUGGAGUAUGUGGUUUAAUUCGAAGCAACGCGAAGAACCUUACCUGGGCUUGACAUCCCUGGAAUCGAGUAGAGAUACUUGAGUGCCUUCGGGAAUCAGGUGACAGGUGGUGCAUGGUUGUCGUCAGCUCGUGUCGUGAGAUGUUGGGUUAAGUCCCGCAACGAGCGCAACCCCUAUUGUCAGUUGCCAUCAUUAAGUUGGGCACUCUGGCGAGACUGCCGGUGACAAAUCGGAGGAAGGUGGGGACGACGUCAAAUCAUCAUGCCCCUUAUGCCCAGGGCUACACACGUACUACAAU
rnacentral:rRNA from 1 species